rnacentral:lncRNA from 1 species
CUCCUAUACUAUGUAUGUGUUGAAAUUAACACAAUCGGACUGCAUUUUUUUUUAGCUUUCAUUUGAUAUAUAGUUUGACAUGUCACCUUAAAAAUUUCAAAAAUGUCUGACACGCCUAUUAAUAGAUGAAGAUAUCAUUAUACGAGAUGUUAAACACAAGGAAUUAUAUAUUACUGGUGUGAACAAAAACUAGAGGCUCUCCAGAGUCUGUGUCGCUCACCUUAUUCUACUUGGGAUUUUGAAAUAAUAUUAAACUAGAGGCUCUAAAGAGCCUGUGUCGCUCACCUUGGUAUAUGUGAAUAUUAAACAAAGGAAGCAGAUGGAUUCAUGACAAAAUUGUGUUUAGGUGAUGGUGAUGUGUUUGUACAUCUUACUUUACUGAACAUUCUUGCUCCUUACAAUUAUCUCUAUCUAUAAUGAUCUUGGCCCAGUAGUUUCAGUGGAAAAUGUUAGUAAAAAUUUACAAAUUUU